AUUGAACGCUGGCGGCAGGCCUAACACAUGCAAGUCGAGCGGUUGACGGGAGCUUGCUCCCUGAUUCAGCGGCGGACGGGUGAGUAAUGCCUAGGAAUCUGCCUAUUAGUGGGGGACAACGUUUCGAAAGGAACGCUAAUACCGCGUACGUCCUACGGGAGAAAGCAGGGGACCUUCGGGUCUUGCGCUAAUAGAUGAGCCUAGGUCGGAUUAGCUUAUUGGUGAGGUAAUGGCUCACCAAGGCGACGAUCCGUAACUGGUCUGAGAGGAUGAUCAGUCACACUGGAACUGAGACACGGUCCAGACUCCUACGGGAGGCAGCAGUGGGGAAUAUUGGACAAUGGGCGAAAGCCUGAUCCAGCCAUGCCGCGUGUGUGAAGAAGGUCUUCGGAUUGUAAAGCACUUUAAGUUGGGAGGAAGGGUUGUAGAUUAAUACUCUGCAAUUUUGACGUUACCGACAGAAUAAGCACCGGCUAACUCUGUGCCAGCCGCCGCGGUAAAAC
rnacentral:rRNA from 1 species